rnacentral:rRNA from 1 species
AGAGUUUGAUCCUGGCUCAGAACGAACGUUGGCGGCAUGGAUUAGGCAUGCAAGUCGAACGAAUCCCAAGGAGCAAUCUGAGGGGGAAGUGGCGAAAGGGGCAGUAAUACCUGGAUAACCUACCCUGGGGAUGGGCAUAGCCGUUCUAACGAGCGGGUAAUACCCAGCGAUUCGGCGGGUCGGCAUCGAUCUGCCGGGAAAUGAAUUUCGCCUCGGGAGGGGUCCAGGAGCUAUCAGGUAGUUGGUGAGGUAACGGCUCACCAAGCCUUAGACGGCUAGCGGGUGUGAGAGCACGACCCGCGCCACUGGCACUGAGACACUGGCCAGACACCUACGGGUGGCUGCAGUCGAGGAUCUUCGUCAAUGGGCGCAAGCCUGAACGAGCGAUGCCGCGUGAGCGAUGAAGGCCUUCGGGUUGUAAAGCUCAAAAGAGAUGAGAAAGGGAAACUUGAUCGAAUCUCAGUAAGCUCGGGCUAAGUUCGUGCCAGCAGCCGCGGUAAU